rnacentral:rRNA from 1 species
ACCCAAGGUCAUACCGCCUUUGCUGUGCCUGAUCCCAUCAGAUCUCGGAAGCUAAGCAGGGAAGGGCUUGGCUGGUACUUGGAUGGAAGACCGUUUGGGAACACCAGGAAGCCUGAGUG